rnacentral:lncRNA from 1 species
GGCGCCGCAUAAGGAUGCCAAUCAUAUGCGCCGCACGUGUGUUCCAGCUCACGCGCGAGCUUGGCCACAAGUCCGACGGUCAAACCAUCGAGUGGCUCCUCCGCCAGGCCGAGCCCUCCAUCAUCGCCGCCACCGGCUCCGGAACCACCCCCGCCAGCUUCUCCUCCGUCUCCCUCUCCGUCCGCGCCGCCGCCAACUCCCUCUCCUCCCCUUCCUCCACCUCCGACCACAAGCCCCAGUUACUCUCUCCCACUCCCUUCAUCCUCGGCAAGCGCAUACGCACCGACGAAGACUCUUCCAA